rnacentral:tRNA from 1 species
CAAAGUAUAGCUUAAGUCAAAGCAUCUAGUUUACACCCAGAAGACCUCACCAAACAUGAGUACUUUGA